rnacentral:rRNA from 1 species
UACGGGGGGGGUAAGCGUUGUUCGGAAUUACUGGGCGUAAAGGGCUCGUAGGCGGCCAACUAAGUCAGACGUGAAAUCCCUCAGCUUAACUGGGGAACUGCGUCUGAUACUGGAUGGCUUGGAUUCGGGAGAGGAAUGCGGAAUUCCAGGUGUAGCGGUGAAAUGCGUAGAUAUCAGGAGGAACACCGGUGGCGAAGGCGGCUAUCUGGACAGAGUCUGACGCUGAGGCGCGAAAGCUAGGGGAGCAAACAGG